CCCUGAUUUUUAAUAAUAUAGCGCGAGCGUCGACUGAACUGCUGGUGAGCGCUUUAAAACGGCGAUAAGCGUGCAAAAAGAGCGUGCAACAAGGCGAGUGCAACAAGGCAACAAGGCUCGUGCGCGAACUCUCGCCUUGUUGCACGCUUAUCGCCGUUAUAAGCAGUUAUAAGCAGUUCAGUCGACGCUCGCGCUAUAUUAUUAAAAAUCAGGGAGGCUGUACGUGCAAAUGCGUUUCGCCCUCCUAUUGAGCUCCGGCGCAAAGCGUGCAAUAUUUCAUGUGAAAGAUGCAGUGCCCGUCAUCAUGGUGUGAAUUUCGAGCGGCAAACGAGAACUUUGGCAUUUAGAGCACACCGCGGCUGCUAAGUUAGCGUGGAAAUUGUUUUACGUUACCGUAAUAUGUUGCUGUCAGUCUAAUCUGCGGCUUGUGGACAGCUAGCCCAUUGACUUUUGCUUGUGGCAGCGAUAAGUAUAUAAAUGGAAGCGGUAAUAAUUUUCGAGAGCAGAGAGUUGUUUCGCUCGAUGUUUGGUCGUGUUCAUGGCGUUAUGAAAGCUAGAAAACUAACUGGCUUUAUCGUGCUUAGUUCCAACUCCAAGGGGCGUAACGUUGGCGCUGUAUAUGCUUGUUUUCGGUGUCACGAGUACCACUUUCAUGCUUUUGUUGCAUGAGAGGUAGCUGCUGCAUGCCGUCUGGGCAGAAUACAACAAAAGCAAUUUCCUCACUUUCAUACGUAUGCAAUGUGACGUAACAAAAUUUCCAGCGUUUUAUUCGGAGCGUAAAUAUCCAGUAUAGUUUAGUAAGAAACUCGAAUUCUGUCUUAGCUUAGUAGGCGUGAAACAAGUGAAACUCUUUCCUUUUUGAAUUCGCCCGCAGAUGCGUCAUCGGGUAAUUGACAGUAGCUUCGCUACGUGAGUUGUUUUAUGCGCCAAUAUUGCCUGGUUAAGUAUCCUGUUAAUUUAUGCCGACGCUCGUUCAUCUUGAUUUUAAGCGGUUACUAUCCCCGAGUACCGGACGAUGCCAAACUUGUGAGGUGUAGCAAACGCGGGAAAUUCAAUGUGGCGUGGCUGCAAGUUCCUGUUUUUACGUUUCUUGCAUUCAAAGCCAACAGAGUAUCACUGAUUUAUUUUCCAUUUCUGCUGUACUUGAUCAAUCUAAUGUGACAACUGCAUUUGCUCUUUAAUGUUCUCCAUUUACUGUGUAUUCAGCUUGGCUGCCGUCCUCUCUUCAGAGGAUGCUGCUGUGAUAGCUCUUUCGUAUAGCACAUGCCUCUAGGCCCUUGUGUUUCAAGGGCUCUGGCGAGGCAGCAGUGCUCCAAGUAAUUUUACCAUCCUGUAUAUUUUCUAUUUUGCAUCAUUCUUCCACGAUGGAUUUUAAUGUUCAUACUAUUUGUCAUUAGUCAUCGCCAUAAUUUUAUAGCACGUAGAUUUUACGCACUUUACAGCGACAAUUUUUAGGCCAGUUUACAGCCAAGUUACAUCUUCCAUAAUACAUCGUCAACAUUACCACUUGUCAUGGCCCUCUUUGGCCAAACGUGGCCCUUGCGCCAUAAAACACCACACAUCAUCAUCAUCAGCUUGGCUGCCAGAAAAUGCUUGAAUUUCUUUCAGUAUCCAAGUGACGAAAUAUUCCACUGACGGCCGUGUGUGAAACACGCAAGAUGACAAAACUGAUAGCAAAAUGAUGAGAUAUUUCUUUUAUAGCGUUUGGACUCGACUUUUGGUGAGGCUGUCGAUCGACCUUGGGCCUGGUGACAGCACACCCGACAUCGCCAAAGUGCAGCCUAUCAGUUGAGUGCCCCCGAAUGGACCAUCAACAUCGGAAACUGAAGCAGAGCCAGGGGGAAAAAGCUCCGGUAACACCAUGCAUUCAGUAUGGUGGCCCAGACGUGUAUGCAAGCAACCUCCUUCAUGUGGACCAAGAACUACUCUGCAGUGUCUCACAGUCUUCCAUGCGAAGCCCUCAACAUUCUCGUCUCAGUGGAAUGGCUGCCCAUCUAUCUGCGUGUCCAUCACCAAGACGGCUAGUUGUAAAGCUCCUGUACCCGUUUAAGAAAGCUUAAUGAUUUUUUUUAUUUAGUUUUCACGGUUGGCCGUAGAAUCUUAACAUUUUUGAUGUUUCUAACGUUUUUACCUGGCACAAAGUGGCGCAAUAACUUUAAACCAGUGUAAUGUAUUUAAGUGAUGCUCACUCUAAUGCCUAUCUGGUUUUGUUUGUGUUUAAGAAAUUUGAAUGUCUGAUGAGGUAACAGCAUUUAAAUUUGUCAUCGUGGCUUGGUUCAAUGAGCUGCUAGGAAAUAAGAUGCAAAACUUAUCACAUGCCAGUUGUAGCAUUUUUGUAUUCAUGACUAAAGUAUACACGUUUCAAAAGAUGGAAAGUGGGGAAAAAAAGCCUCAAGAACAUAAUCAUCCUAGGAUUGUCAUGUCCUUACAACUCUGCAAUGACUAAUGCCUCAUGCAUCUUGGGAGCACAAUGGUCGCAAUGCCUACAGGUAUACUUGAUAAGAGACUAGCUUGCAAAAAUUUAGUUGAGAGUUAGCGCUCAUCCUGUCUGCUUCUAGUCUGUGUCCAUGCCACUUCGCGCUACAAUCCAAGAUCAUGUUACUGUACCAACUCGCCCAACUUUUUAUCCUUGUGUUAAAGACACACUCAGACUUGUUCUUACUUAUGUGACCGGUUAUUUUUGUGCUUUAUAAUAAGAUGCAGUGCUUUUCGAAUGAAAACGUGAUAUUUAGUAGUGAGGUUAUUUAAAAAAACUGUUCUGCUUAAAAUUUAAUUGAGCAAGCCUGUGCCAUUAUUCGGUGCUUAUGUCUUUGUAUUGGUAUGGUUUUACUCAUCUUCCUUUUUACUUUUAAAAUGUGCAAACAUUAUUAUGUAACCAUUUCUCUUGAAUGAAAUAAAUACUUCUGACAUUUCGUCACAAA